UAGAAACAGGAAAUCAUGCAGGCGAGGAGAGGGACAGCCUGCCGUGCCAAUCAAUGCUCAAUUGCUGUUAGAUGUGGGUAUUAAGUAUGAAGUGGACUUGUUGGUUUUAUUGAAGGUUCCUAGAUGCCGUCUCCUGCUGUUGUGUCCUUGAUCAAGACACUUAACCCCGAAACUGCUCCAGGGGUGCUGCACCGUGUCUUUAAGGUCUGGGUGUCUUAGGGGGUUAGGAGAAAACAAAAAUACUAAUAGCUGUGUCUUUAAGGUCUGGGUGUCUUAGGGGGUUAGGAGAGAACAAAAAUACUAAUAGCUGUGUCUUUAAGGUCUGGGUGUCUUAGGGGGUUAGGAGAAAACAAAAAUACUAAUAGCUGUGUCUUUAAGGUCUGGGUGUCUUAGGGGGUUAGGAGAGAACAAAAAUACUAAUAGCUGUGUCUUUAAGGUCUGGGUGUCUUAGGGGGUUAGGAGAGAACAAAAAUACUAAUAGCUGUGUCUUUAAGGUCUGGGUGUCUUAGGGGGUUAGGAGAGAACAAAAAUACUAAUAGCUGUGUCUUUAAGGUCUGGGUGUCUUAGGGGGUUAGGAGAGAACAAAAAUACUAAUAGCUGUGUCUUUAAGGUCUGGGUGUCUUAGGGGGUUAGGAGAGAACAAAAAUACUAAUAGCUGUGUCUUUAAGGUCUGGGUGUCUUAGGGGGUUAGGAGAGAACAAAAAUACUAAUAGCUGUGUCUUUAAGGUCUGGGUAUCUUAGGGGGUUAGGAGAAAACAAAAAUACUAAUAGCUGUGUCAUUUUAGACAAUAAGUUAUCUUCUUCUUCCUCUCUUCCCU